UACGUAGGGGGCUAGCGUUGUCCGGAAUCAUUGGGCGUAAAGCGCGCGUAGGCGGCCCUUCAAGUCAGGCGUGAAAGCCCCGGGCUCAACCUGGGAGGUGCGCUUGGGACUGGAGGGCUGGAGUUCGGGAGAGGAGCGUGGAAUUCCCAGUGUAGAGGUGAAAUUCGUAGAUAUUGGGAAGAACACCGGUGGCGAAGGCGGCGCUCUGGACCGAGACUGACGCUGAGGCGCGAAAGCCAGGGGAGCAAACGGG
rnacentral:rRNA from 1 species